rnacentral:rRNA from 1 species
CCUGGUGAUUAUGGUGUAGGUGCCAUACCCGUUCCCAUUCCGAACACGGAAGUCAAGCCCUCUUACGCCGAUGAUACUGCCCCCCGGAGGGGCGGGAAAGUAGGUAGUCGUCAGGC